UUAAGCGACUAAGCGUACACGGUGGAUGCCCUGGCAGUCAGAGGCGAUGAAGGACGUGCUAAUCUGCGAUAAGCGCCGGUAAGGUGAUAUGAACCGUUAUAACCGGCGAUUUCCGAAUGGGGAAACCCAGUGUGUUUCGACACACUAUCAUUACGUGAAUACAUAGCGUAAUGAAGCGAACCGGGGGAACUGAAACAUCUAAGUACCCCGAGGAAAAGAAAUCAACCGAGAUUCCCCCAGUAGCGGCGAGCGAACGGGGAGGAGCCCAGAGCCUGAAUCAGCAUGUGUGUUAGUGGAAGCGUCUGGAAAGGCGCGCGAUACAGGGUGACAGCCCCGUACACAAAAGCGCAUGUGCUGUGAGCUCGAUGAGUAGGGCGGGACACGUGGUAUCCUGUCUGAAUAUGGGGGGACCAUCCUCCAAGGCUAAAUACUCCUGACUGACCGAUAGUGAACCAGUACCGUGAGGGAAAGGCGAAAAGAACCCCGGCGAGGGGAGUGAAAAAGAACCUGAAACCGUGUACGUACAAGCAGUGGGAGCACAGGUUUACCUGUGUGACUGCGUACCUUUUGUAUAAUGGGUCAGCGACUUAUAUUCUGUAGCAAGGUUAACCGAAUAGGGGAGCCGUAGGGAAACCGAGUCUUAACCGGGCGUUAAGUUGCAGGGUAUAGACCCGAAACCCGGUGAUCUAGCCAUGGGCAGGUUGAAGGUUGGGUAACACUAACUGGAGGACCGAACCGACUAAUGUUGAAAAAUUAGCGGAUGACCUGUGGCUGGGGGUGAAAGGCCAAUCAAACCGGGAGAUAGCUGGUUCUCCCCGAAAGCUAUUUAGGUAGCGCCUCGUGAAUUCAUCUCCGGGGGUAGAGCACUGUUUCGGCUAGGGGGCCAUCCCGGCUUACCAACCCGAUGCAAACUGCGAAUACCGGAGAAUGUUAUCACGGGAGACACACGGCGGGUGCUAACGUCCGUCGUGAAGAGGGAAACAACCCAGACCGCCAGCUAAGGUCCCAAAGUCAUGGUUAAGUGGGAAACGAUGUGGGAAGGCCCAGACAGCCAGGAUGUUGGCUUAGAAGCAGCCAUCAUUUAAAGAAAGCGUAAUAGCUCACUGGUCGAGUCGGCCUGCGCGGAAGAUGUAACGGGGCUAAACCAUGCACCGAAGCUGCGGCAGCGAACGUAUCACUUAAAGCGAUUCAGCGGGUUACGAUUGACGGAGCGAAGCGACGUCAAAGCGUAUACAAAGUCGAGUCGGUUUAAGGAUACGUUCGUUGGGUAGGGGAGCGUUCUGUAAGCCUGUGAAGGUGUGUCGUGAGGCAUGCUGGAGGUAUCAGAAGUGCGAAUGCUGACAUAAGUAACGAUAAAGCGGGUGAAAAGCCCGCUCGCCGGAAGACCAAGGGUUCCUGUCCAACGUUAAUCGGGGCAGGGUGAGUCGACCCCUAAGGCGAGGCCGAAAGGCGUAGUCGAUGGGAAACGGGUUAAUAUUCCCGUACUUGGUGUUACUGCGAAGGGGGGACGGAGAAGGCUAUGUUGGCCGGGCGACGGUUGUCCCGGUUUAAGCGUGUAGGUGUGUGUUCCAGGUAAAUCCGGUUCACUUUAACACUGAGGCGUGACGACGAGGCACUACGGUGCUGAAGCAACAAAUGCCCUGCUUCCAGGAAAAGCCUCUAAGCAUCAGGUAACAUCAAAUCGUACCCCAAACCGACACAGGUGGUCAGGUAGAGAAUACCAAGGCGCUUGAGAGAACUCGGGUGAAGGAACUAGGCAAAAUGGUGCCGUAACUUCGGGAGAAGGCACGCUGACACGUAGGUGAAGUGAUUUACUCAUGGAGCUGAAGUCAGUCGAAGAUACCAGCUGGCUGCAACUGUUUAUUAAAAACACAGCACUGUGCAAACACGAAAGUGGACGUAUACGGUGUGACGCCUGCCCGGUGCCGGAAGGUUAAUUGAUGGGGUCAGCGCAAGCGAAGCUCCUGAUCGAAGCCCCGGUAAACGGCGGCCGUAACUAUAACGGUCCUAAGGUAGCGAAAUUCCUUGUCGGGUAAGUUCCGACCUGCACGAAUGGCGUAAUGAUGGCCAGGCUGUCUCCACCCGAGACUCAGUGAAAUUGAACUCGCUGUGAAGAUGCAGUGUACCCGCGGCAAGACGGAAAGACCCCGUGAACCUUUACUAUAGCUUGACACUGAACAUUGAGCCUUGAUGUGUAGGAUAGGUGGGAGGCUUUGAAGUGUGGACGCCAGUCUGCAUGGAGCCGACCUUGAAAUACCACCCUUUAAUGUUUGAUGUUCUAACGUGGACCCGUAAUCCGGGUUGCGGACAGUGUCUGGUGGGUAGUUUGACUGGGGCGGUCUCCUCCUAAAGAGUAACGGAGGAGCACGAAGGUUGGCUAAUCCUGGUCGGACAUCAGGAGGUUAGUGCAAUGGCAUAAGCCAGCUUGACUGCGAGCGUGACGGCGCGAGCAGGUGCGAAAGCAGGUCAUAGUGAUCCGGUGGUUCUGAAUGGAAGGGCCAUCGCUCAACGGAUAAAAGGUACUCCGGGGAUAACAGGCUGAUACCGCCCCAAGAGUUCAUAUCGACGGCGGUGUUUGGCACCUCGAUGUCGGCUCAUCACAUCCUGGGGCUGAAGUAGGUCCCAAGGGUAUGGCUGUUCGCCAUUUAAAGUGGUACGCGAGCUGGGUUUAGAACGUCGUGAGACAGUUCGGUCCCUAUCUGCCGUGGGCGCUGGGAGAACUGAGGGGGCUGCUCCUAGUACGAGAGGACCGGAGUGGACGCAUCACUGGUGUUCGGGUUGUCAUGCCAAUGGCACUGCCCGGUAGCUAAAUGCGGAAGAGAUAAGUGCUGAAAGCAUCUAAGCACGAAACUUGCCCGAGAUGAGUUCUCCCUGAGACUUAGAGUCUCCUGAAGGAACGUUGAAGACGACGACGUUGAUAGGCCGGGUGUGUAAGCGCAGCGAUGCGUUGAGCUAACCGGUACUAAUGAACCGUGAGGCUUAACCUU
rnacentral:rRNA from 1 species